CCUUCGAUAGCUCAGCUGGUAGAGCAGAGGACUGUAGAUCCUUAGGUUGCUGGUUCGAUUCCGGCUCAAAGGA
rnacentral:tRNA from 1 species